GCCCUUUACAUCAGUCCGGACCUUUGCAGAACUUGGCUAGUGCAUCAAGUCAAUAUGGUAUCAGAGCCUUGAGGUCUCAAGUUCAAGACCCGGGUAACGCACUGUUCGGACAUUUGGAAAACUUGGCUAGUGCAUCAAUUCAGUAUCAAUGACAGUGGAGAGAUGAUCAUGGGUGACAAGCAGCUCUCCUGAAUGGUAAAGGAAAAAAAAAUACAGCCAUCAAAAAGUUCAAGCAGCAGGAGGCUCUAAAGAAGAGAAGUGGCACAUAACCUGACCUAGAAACUAGGGAGAAUAGAAGAAGCUUAUUUUGUUCUGUUGAUCCAGAUGCUGAAAAUGCACAACACAUGGAAAUGGAUGCCUCAGGAGGAAUUAGAGAGGGAACAUUAAAUGGUCUGAAUUGCGGCAAUGAGUCCUUCUGAUUUUUUCCGCAAAUGCUGCUGAAUUAGGAGCGCCAAGAGAGAUGGGCAAAGUGUUGGUCUUGGCCUGUAGGGAACUCUGCCUGCAGGUGUCGCAGCGCUGAAGAUCUCAAGUGCCCGCGAUGUGCACUCUUCAUUUGGCUCAUUUAUCCUUGCAUGUGCAAAAUUAACCGGCAGUUUUGCAUAAACUGUAGAAGUUGGUUAUUAUCCCCACAAAAGAGGUGGUUAAUGGUUAUUAUCAUCUAGUAGAUCAUAAACAACUAUUAUUUCUGCUUGACACUUGCAUAGUGUGUUGGUAUAGCUUAUCACCCCAGAGGACUUGUGCACUGAGGUGUUUGCUUUGCGUGUCAGUUGAGC